UACGUAGGUGACCAGCGUUGUCCGGAUUUACUGGGCGUAAAGAGCGCGCAGGCGGUCGUUCAAGUCGAGUGUGAAAGCCCCCGGCUCAACUGGGGAGGGUCACUCGAUACUGAUCGACUUGAAGGCAGGAGAGGGAAGCGGAAUUCCCGGUGUAGUGGUGAAAUGCGUAGAGAUCGGAAAGAACACCAACGGCGAAGGCACUCUGCUGGGCCGACACUGACACUGAGAGACGAAAGCUAGGGGAGCAAAUGGG
rnacentral:rRNA from 1 species